rnacentral:rRNA from 1 species
GACGAACGCUGGCGGCGUGCUUAACACAUGCAAGUCGAACGGAAAGGCCCGGCUUUUGUGGGGUGCUCGAGUGGCGAAGGGGGGAGUAACACGUGAGUAACCUGCCCUUGACAUUGGGAUAACUUCAGGAAACUGGGGCUCAUACCGGAUAGGAGAUUCUGAUGCGUGGGGGGGGUUGGAGAGUGUCGGCGGUGGGGGAUGGAAUCGCGGCUUAUCCGCUGGUUGGUGGGGUAGUGGCUUACAAAGGCUAUGAAGGGUAGCCGGCCUUAGAGGGUGACCGGCCACAUUGGGACUGAGAUACGGCCCAGACUCCUACGUGAGGCAGCAGUGGGGAAUCUUGCACAAUGGGCCGAAGCCUGAUGCAGCAACGCCGCGUGCGGGAUGCUGGCCUUCGGGUUGUAAACCGCUUUCUCCUGUGACGAAGCGUGAGUGACGGUAAUGGGUAAAGAAGCACCGGCUAACUACGUG